rnacentral:rRNA from 1 species
CCUAAUACAUGCAAGUCGAGCGAGCGGAACUAACAGAUUUACUUCGGUAAUGACGUUAGGAAAGCGAGCGGCGGAUGGGUGAGUAACACGUGGGGAACCUGCCCCAUAGUCUGGGAUACCACUUGGAAACAGGUGCUAAUACCGGAUAAGAAAGCAGAUCGCAUGAUCAGCUUUUAAAAGGCGGCGUAAGCUGUCGCUAUGGGAUGGCCCCGCGGUGCAUUAGCUAGUUGGUAAGGUAAAGGCUUACCAAGGCGAUGAUGCAUAGCCGAGUUGAGAGACUGAUCGGCCACAUUGGGACUGAGACACGGCCCAAACUCCUACGGGAGGCAGCAGUAGGGAAUCUUCCACAAUGGACGCAAGUCUGAUGGAGCAACGCCGCGUGAGUGAAGAAGGUUUUCGGAUCGUAAAGCUCUGUUGUUGGAGAAGAACGUGCGUGAGAGUAACUGUUCACGCAGUGACGGUAUCCAACCAGAAAGUCACGGCUAACUACGUGCC